CUUGCACCAGCGAAUAGCUAGCUUUUUGCGUGGCGCCAACUUGUAAGAUGCUUCAGGAGAGGUCUCGAGUUCGCACCAGGCCCUUCUCUCCCGAUUGCUCAGUUUGGCUGGGCGGCCAGCUCUAGGAAGAGUCUUGGUGGUUCCAAACUUCUUCCGUUUAAGAAUGAUGGAGGCCACUGUGUUCUUGGGGAUCUUCAAUGCUGCAGAAAUGUUUUGGUACCCUUUCCCAGAUCUGUGCCACGACACAAUCCUAUCUUGGCGCUCUAUGGACAAUUCCUUCAACCUCAUGACUUGGUUUUUGCUCUGACAUGCACUGUCAACUGUGGGACCUUAUAUAGACAGGUGUGUGCCUUUCCAAAUCAUGUCCAAUCAAUUACAUUUACCAUAGGUGCACUCCAAGUUGUAGAAACAUCUCAAGGAUGAUCAAUGGAAACAGGAUGCACCUGAGCUCAAUUUCAAGUCUCAUAGCAAAGGGUUUGAAUACUUGUGUAAAUAAGGUACUUCUGUUUUUUAUUUGUAAUAAAUUUACAAACAUUUCUAAAAAUCAGUUUUUGCUUUGUCCUUAUGGAGUAUUGUGUGUAAAUUGAUGAG
rnacentral:lncRNA from 1 species